rnacentral:rRNA from 1 species
AUGGACUGGUUCGCCGCCAUCGUCAGGUCGCCCGUCGCCACUUGCUUCCUGUGCUCAGGGAAACUUUCAACAUCAGUUUUUAGUAUUCCCACAUUGCAACGCCUAGAUUUUCACUCAAACCAGCUCUCUGGUUUUAUACAAGACUUCAAUGCAACGUCUUCACACUUGGUUUCAGUGGACUUAAGCACAAACGAAUUGACAGGGAAUAUUCCCAAGUCAUUCUUUCAACUAAAAAAUUUGGCAUACCUCGAUAUUGGCUCGAACUACUUGGUGGGUUCGUUGGAUCUUUCCUCGUUUUGGAGGUUGGGAAAUCUUGUUCAUUUAAGUCUUUCCCACAACAAUCUAUCAGUCAUGGACAUGGAUGGAGAAGGUAACAACUCUCUGUCUACCUAUCUCCCUCGAGUUACCAAGUUAGAAUUAGCGAGUUGCAAUUUAACAGGAUUUCCAAGUUUAUUGGAACACGUUAAGCAAGUGUCUUACUUGGACUUGUCAUGCAAUAGAAUCAGUGGGGCUGUUCCGAAGCUGGUAUGGGUGACAUGGAACAACAGCCUUACAUAUUUGAAUCUUUCACACAACAUGCUCAGCACUAUGCAAGUUACUUCAUUUGUUCUCCCUUUCGAUAAGUUGGAGGUUAUUGAUCUUAGUUCCAACCAGCUUCAGGGGCAGAUUCCUAUGCCAAGCUGGUCAGUGUACUUCGAUUGUUCAAACAAUAGUUUCUCUUCAGUGCUUCCAAACUUCACUCUCUAUCUUGGCGAUGAGUUCAGAAUUUCUAAAAACAAUAUCAGUGGACAUAUACCAAACUCAAUUUGUGAUUCAUGGAUCAGUGUCCUUGACCUGUCAUUUAACAGCUUCCGCGGGCAGAUACCUUCGUGUCUAAUAGAAGAUGGUUACACUAGCGUGUUGAGUUUGCGGGAGAAUCAAUUUGAAGGUGUGUUGCCUAACAACAUCAAAGACCAAUGUAUGCUUCACACAUUAGACUUGAACGGCAAUAAGAUUGAAGGGAAGCUUCCAAUGACACUUACCAAGUGCUGGCAGCUAGUGCUCCUUGACGUUGGAAAUAAUAACAUGGUGGGUGCUUUUCCAUCAUGGCUGGGGCUACUUCCCGAACUUCGUAUCCUUGUCUUGAGAUCCAACCGAUUCUAUGGCUCGGUGGGUGGUGAUCUUCACAGCAGUGAAAAAUAUGGAGAAUACUUCUCUAGCUUGCAGAUUCUGGAUCUUGCCUCGAACAAUUUCUCCGGUAAUUUGAGUCCAGAUUGGUUUGAGGGGCUGAAAUCAAUGAUGUCAGAGUUGAACACAACAGGUCGUAUUAUUAGUAGUUUUAACGGAAGUAUGGAACAUCCCUAUCAGGAUUCUGUUGCUAUAUACUAUAAAAGCAUCUACAGGACAUUUGAUAAGAUCUUGACCACUUUAACAGUCAUUGACCUAUCAAAUAAUUCAUUGGAUGGCACCAUUCCGGGAUCGCUUGGGAGGCUUAUUUCGUUACAUGUACUAAACAUGUCAGGGAAUGCCAUCACGGGUGAUAUUCCGCAGGAAUUUGGCGGGAUGACUCAACUAGAAUCUCUCGACCUGUCUCAGAACCAGCUUUCUGGUGAUAUUCCGGAGGCGCUAACAAAUCUCACUUUUCUUGGUAUCUUGAACUUGUGCAACAACCAGUUGGUGGGAAGGAUACCUCGCUCAGGUCAAUUUGCGACGUUCCAAAACAGUUCAUUUGAGGGAAAUAUGGGGCUGUGUGGACUGCCAUUGUCCAACCCAUGCAGCAAUUCACCUACUCCUCCAAGUGCAGUGCAUGGGGAGAAGUCCUUUCAUGUGGACGUCAUCUUGUUUCUCUUCGUCGGGCUGGGCUUUGGUAUCGGAUUUGCAGCUGCCAUCCUGAUAAGAUGGGGUCGGAUUCGCAAAUGGUUUGUUAAAUCUGCAAGAGCUUUGAGGACUUGA